rnacentral:rRNA from 1 species
AUACGGAGGGUGCAAGCGUUACUCGGAAUCACUGGGCGUAAAGCGCGCGCAGGCGGCCCGAUAAGUUGGAUGUGAAAGCCUACGGCUCAACCGUAGAACUGCAUCCAAAACUGCCGGGCUAGAGUCUGGGAGGGGAAGAUGGAAUUAGUUGUGUAGGGGUAAAAUCCGUAGAGAUAACUAGGAAUACCAAAAGCGAAGGCGAUCUUCUUGAACAGUACUGACGCUGAGGCGCGAAAGCGUGGGAGCAAACAGGAUUAGAAACCCUAGUAGUCC